rfam:Sphaerobolus stellatus SS14 unplaced genomic scaffold SPHSTscaffold_239, whole genome shotgun sequence.
GGCCUAAUGGUCUAGUAGCAUGAUUCUUCCUUUGGGAUGUGGCGUUAGCUACGAAAUUGGAAGAGGUCCUGGGUUCAAUUCCCAGUUGGGCCC